CCUACGGGCGGCAGCAGUGGGGAAUAUUGGACAAUGGGGGGAACCCUGAUCCAGCCAUGCCGCGUGUGUGAAGAAGGCCCUCGGGUUGUAAAGCACUUUCAGUGAGGAAGAACGCCUGGUGGUUAAUACCCAUCAGGAAAGACAUCACUCACAGAAGAAGCACCGGCUAACUCCGUGCCAGCAGCCGCGGUAAUACGGAGGGUGCGAGCGUUAAUCGGAAUUACUGGGCCUAAAGCGCGCGUAGGUGGCUUGAUAAGCCGGUUGUGAAAGCCCCGGGCUCAACCUGGGAACGGCAUCCGGAACUGUCAAGCUAGAGUGCAGGAGAGGAAGGUAGAAUUCCCGGUGUAGCGGUGAAAUGCGUAGAGAUAGGGAGGAAUACCAGUGGCGAAGGCGGCCUUCUGGACUGACACUGACACUGAGGUGCGAAAGCGUGGGUAGCAAACAGGAUUAGAUACCCCGGUAGUC
rnacentral:rRNA from 1 species